GCUAUACAGCUAGCUUAAUUACUAAAGUUUACUACAACAACAUUAUAAACCUUUAUACAACUACAAGUAACCAAAAUUAAAACAUUUUACCGCCCUAGUAUGUGAGACAGAAAAGGCACAUCAUCUUAAAGCUACAGAAAAAGUACCGCAAGGGAAUGCUGAAAGAGAAAUGAAACAAAUCAUUAAAGCCUAACAAAGCAGAGACCGACCCUCGUACCUUUUGCAUCAUGAUUUAGCCAGUCAUCCUGAGCAAAGUGUACUUUAGUUCAAAACCCCGAAACUAAGUGAGCUACCCCGAGACAGCCUAUUAUUUAGGGCCAACCCGUCUCUGUGGCAAAAGAGUGGGAAGAUCUCCGGGUAGAGGUGACAAACCUACCGAACUUAGUUAUAGCUGGUUGCCUAAGAAAUGGAUAGAAGUUCAGCCUCGCACUCCUUAUUUCACAGCCUAAUAUAAAUUAUAUGAACAAAAGAAAUAUGCGAGAGUUAUUCAAAGGGGGUACAGCCCCUUUGAAACAGGACACAACCUCACCAGGAGGUUAAAGAUUAUAUUAAACAAGAUAUAUCGCCUUAAUGGGCCUAAAAGCAGCCAUUUACGUAGAAAGCGUUAAAGCUCUAGCGAAACAUAAAUCUAUUAUCCAAAUAUUAUUUCUAAAACCCCUAACUAUAUUAGGCCACUCCAUGCUUACAUGGAAGAAAUACUGCUAAAAUGAGUAAUAAGAAAGAAUUCCUUUCUCCCCGCCCAUGUGUACACUAGAUCGGACUAACCACUAGUAAUUACCGAACCCAAUCAAAGAGGGGACUGUGAUAAUUAUAAAUAGCAAGAAACACUCACAUAACCCUAUCGUUAACCCCACACAGGAGGGCAAUUACGGGAAAGACCAAAAGAAGGGGAAGGAACUCGGCAAACAUAAGCCUCGCCUGUUUACCAAAAACAUCGCCUCCUGCAAAACACUACGUAUAGGAGGUCUUGCCUGCCCAGUGACAAGUUAAACGGCCGCGGUAUUUUGACCGUGCGAAGGUAGCGCAAUCACUUGUCUUUUAAAUGAAGACCUGUAUGAAUGGUGGAACGAGGGCUUAACUGUCUCCCCCUUCAAGUCAAUGAAAUUGAUCUGCCCGUGCAGAAGCGGACAUACUUAUACAAGACGAGAAGACCCUUUGGAGCUUAAGAUGUAAAAUCAACUAUGUCAAGAAUUAAUAAAUCAAACUAAAUAGUAACUGAUUCCUAUCUUCGGUUGGGGCGACCACGGGAGAAAAUAAAGCUCCCACGCGGACCAUGGGCCAACCCCCAAAAUUAAGAGAGACAUCUCUAAAUCGCAGAAUAUCUGACCAUAAAGAUCCGGCUAUACGCCGAUCAACGAACCAAGUUACCCCUAGGGAUAACAGCGCAAUCCCCUUCCAGAGUCCAUAUCGACAAGGGGGUUUACGACCUCGAUGUUGGAUCAGGACAUCCUAAUGGUGCAGCCGCUAUUAAGGGUUCGUUUGUUCAACGAUUAAAGUCCUACGUGAUCUGAGUUCAGACCGGAGCAAUCCAGGUCAGUUUCUAUCUGUAACGUCACUUUUCCUAGUACGAAAGGACCGGAAUAAAGGGGGCCCAUAUUGCAAAUACGCCCCACCCCUAUUUAAUGAAAUCAACUAAAUUAAAUAAAGGGAGGACACAACCCUAAAUCUAGACAAGAUU
rnacentral:rRNA from 1 species